UUGGAAGGGCAAGUUCUGGUGCCAGCAGCCGCGGUAAUUCCAGCUCCAAUAGCGUAUAUUAAAGUUGUUGCAGUUAAAAAGCUCGUAGUUGAAUUUCGGGAUCAAUGUUUCGGUCAUGCCGUUGGUAUGUACUGAUAUUAUUGGUUUCUCACCUUCUAAAGAACCGUAAUGCCAUUAAUUUGGUGUCACGGGGAAUUAGGACUGUUACCUUGAAAAAAUUAGAGUGUUUAAAGCAGGCUCACGCUUGAAUACAUUAGCAUGGAAUAAUGAAAUAGGACAUCCGAUUCUAUUUUGUUGGUUUCUAGGAUCGAUGUAAUGAUUAAUAGGGAUAGUUGGGGGCAUUAGUAUUCAAUUGUCAGAGGUGAAAUUCUUGGAUUUAUUGAAGACUAACUACUGCGAAAGCAUUUGCCAAGGAUGUUUUCAUUAAUCAAGAACGAAAGUUAGGGGAUCGAAGACGAUCAGAUACCGUCGUAGUCUUAACCAUAAACUAUGCCGACUAGGGAUCGGAUGAUGUUAAUUUUUUAAUGACUCAUUCGGCGCCUUACGGGAAACCAAAGUGUUUGGGUUC
rnacentral:rRNA from 1 species